CUCCCCUGUCUCAGUUUAAAAUCAUUCCCCCUUGUCCUAUUGCUGUCUACCCUUGUAAACAACCGUUCCCCCUCCUGUUUAUACACUCCCUUCAAAUAGCUGCUUUUGGAGAUUUUGUAGUAACUUUUCUCUUUAUACCUGAGUACCAUUAUUUGAGAACUUUAUAAAAUAAACUCAAUAUGCUAUUUCUUUGAGUGAGGUUUAUCGUUAGAAUUCUUUGGUGAUCACCAUCCUGUUAAUACGUGCAAUCAGAGUGAUACUUUCCACCAUUGUUUCUAGUACUACCUGACAUUAAAUCUUCUUGCACUAAGACUGUACCAGUGACAGUAUGCACCCCUUCUCAAAAAGCCUUAUUUGAUACUUCCUGAAAAAUGCCAUCUCCCAAGACCAAAUCAUUAAACUUCCAUCUCUGAGGAACACUUCUGUGCUUACCCAGGUCAUAGGUGUGCUAGCAGGAAUCUAAACCUUGGCAUGAGUAGGGCACGAGUAGCUCGCACCUUUCUUCUUGCCAAAAAGGAAAAUGAAAGAUGAAGAAAAUGCUUUAGAAGCUACUCCUGGGGAAAUGAACACUCGGCCCAUCCAGAACAGGUAACUGCUUGUUUGAAUACCCCAUUUAAAUAUAACAAUAAAUACUGUAUAGACGGUAACUCUUGCACUGUCGCUUAAGAGGUUUUUCUUAUUUCUUUUGCAGGGAUUGCUGUCCCAUUCCUAGAUAGCUUUCCAGUCUGGUGUUUUUCUUGCCUCUUCAUGGCCUCGUGUCUUAAGAGCAGCCUAGCUGGAUCCCUGGUUCCUGUUUCCUCCUGUUUCAGAAUUCUGCUCUCCCCACGUUUUACAUCCCAUACCUUAUAUACCUUAUACCAUAUACACACACUGGGCUUCUGCUGCUUUUUUUUAGUCUUCACUGGUUUUUCUGAGACUUUGGUUGAGUUCCGUCCAAGAUUUUCCACUUGACACUGUUCUCCAUUCCCAGCUGCAGUGAAGAAGGUUUCUUCUGUUGAACAUGUCAGUCAUGCUUUUUAGGCUUUGGGGAGAUUGUCCCUGUCUGUUUCUUUUCUGCUACUUUGAAUCCCUGUAAGAAGAAUUUGGGGAAGAAGUUACAGUUAUUUUUGUAGCUCUUCUCAUAAAGCAAGCGUGGUAACUUCUGUAAAGAGAUCUUGUGGAUUAUUGGGGGGGGGGGGGGGA